rnacentral:rRNA from 1 species
GACGAACGCUGGCGGCGUGCCUAAUACAUGCAAGUUGAGCGCUGAAGGUUGGUACUUGUACCAACUGGAUGAGCAGCGAACGGGUGAGUAACGCGUGGGGAAUCUGCCUUUGAGCGGGGGACAACAUUUGGAAACGAAUGCUAAUACCGCAUAAAAACUUUAAACACAAGUUUUAAGUUUGAAAGAUGCAAUUGCAUCACUCAAAGAUGAUCCCGCGUUGUAUUAGCUAGUUGGUGAGGUAAAGGCUCACCAAGGCGAUGAUACAUAGCCGACCUGAGAGGGUGAUCGGCCCCAUUGGGACCGAGACACGGCCCAAACCCCUACGGGAGGCAGCAGUAGGGAAUCUUCGGCAAUGGACGAAAGUCUGACCGAGCAACGCCGCGUGAGUGAAGAAGGUUUUCGGAUCGUAAAACUCUGUUGGUAGAGAAGAACGUUGGUGAGAGUGGAAAGCUCAUCAAGUGACGGUAACUACCCAGAAAGGGACGGCUAACUACGUG